rnacentral:rRNA from 1 species
UACGUAGGGGGCAAGCGUUGUCCGGAAUCAUUGGGCGUAAAGGGUGCGUAGGCGGGUCUUUAAGUCAGGGGUGAAAUCCUGGAGCUCAACUCCAGAACUGCCUUUGAUACUGAAGAUCUUGAGUUCGGGAGAGGUGAGUGGAACUGCGAGUGUAGAGGUGAAAUUCGUAGAUAUCUGGAGGAACACCGGUGGCGAAGGCGGCAUCCUGGACCGGCAUUGACGCUGAGGCGCGAAAGCUAGGGGAGCAAACGGG